rnacentral:snRNA from 1 species
UAGUAUCUGUUCUUAUCAGUUUAAUAUCUGAUAUGUCCCCGAAAAGGGGACUUCAUAUUUAACCCAUUUUUGCACUCUGGAGCUGUAAUGGGAGCUUGCUCCAUUGACUCCACGCAUUAGCCCAGUAUUGCAGUACCUCUGGGAGUAGUGC